rnacentral:lncRNA from 1 species
GGUGUGGAGAUAAUAUCAUGUAUCUUAUCUGAUCAUAAUGGAAUGAAACUGGAAAUCAAUGAUAAAAGAAGGAAGGAAAAAUACUGCAUCACCUGGAAAAUGAACAAUAUGUUACUGAAUGAUCAAUGGGUUACAGAGGACAUAAAGGAGGAAAUCAAAAAAUUCUUAGAGAUAAAUGAAAAUACAGACACAACAUAUCAGAAUCUAUGGGACACAAUGAAAGCAGUUUUAAGAGGGAAAUUCAUUGCCUGGAGUUCAUUCCUCAAUAAAAGAAAAAACCAACAAAUAAAUGAACUCACACUUCAUCUCAAAACCCUAGAAAAGGAAGAGCAAAACAACAGCAAAUGUAGUAGAAGGCAAGAAAUAAUUAAAAUCAGAACGGAAAUCAACGAAAUUGAAACAAAAAAAACUAUUUAAAAAUUGAUAAAACUAAAAGUUGGUUCUUUGAAAAAAUAAAUAAGAUUGACAGACCCUUAGCCAUGCUAACAAAGAGAAGAAGAGAGAGAACUCAUAUUACCAACAUACGGGAUGAAAAAGGCAAUAUCACAAUGGACACUACAGAAAUACAGAAGAUAAUUAGAAAUUAUUUUGAAACCCUAUAUUCCAAUAAAAUAGAAGAUAGUGAAGAUAUCAAUAAAUUUCUUAAGUCAUAUGAUUUGCCCAGAUUGAGUCAGGAAGAUACACACAAUUUAAACAAACCAAUAACAAAGGAGGAAAUAGAAGAAGCCAUCAAAAGACUACCAACCAAGAAAAGCCCUGGACCGGAUGGAUAUAUAGCGGAGUUUUACAAAACCUUCAAAGAAGAAUUAAUACCAAUACUUUUCAAGUUAUUUCAAGAAAUAGAAAAAGAAGGAGAUCUUCCAAAUUCAUUCUAUGAGGCCAACAUCACCCUGAUCCCGAAACCAGACAAAGACACUUCAAAGAAAGAAAACUACAGACCAAUAUCUCUAAUGAACAUAGAUGCCAAAAUCCUCAAUAAAAUCCUGGUGAAUCAAAUACAAAAGCAUAUCAAAAAAACUGUGCACCAUGAUCAAGUAGGAUUCAUCCCUAGGAUGCAAGGCUGGUUCAAUAUACAGAAAUCAAUAAAUGUUAUUCUCUACAUCAAUAGACUUAAAGAUAAGAACCACAUGAUCAUCUCAAUAGAUGCAGAAAAAGCAUUCAACAAAGUACAACAUCUCUUUAUGUUCAAAACACUAGAAAAACUAGGGAUAACAGGAUCUUACCUCAACAUCGU